GACGAACGCUGGCGGCGUGCUUAACACAUGCAAGUCGAACGGAAAGGCCCUUCGGGGUACUCGAGUGGCGAACGGGUGAGUAACACGUGGGUGAUCUGCCCUGCACUUUGGGAUAAGCCUGGGAAACUGGGUCUAAUACCGAAUAGGACCACGCGCUUCAUGGUGUGUGGUGGAAAGCUUUUGCGGUGUGGGAUGGGCCCGCGGCCUAUCAGCUUGUUGGUGGGGUAAUGGCCUACCAAGGCGACGACGGGUAGCCGGCCUGAGAGGGUGACCGGCCACACUGGGACUGAGAUACGGCCCAGACUCCUACGGGAGGCAGCAGUGGGGAAUAUUGCACAAUGGGCGCAAGCCUGAUGCAGCGACGCCGCGUGAGGGGUGACGGCCUUCGGGUUGUAAACCGCUUUCGCCUGUGACGAAGCGUGAGUGACGGUAAUGGGUAAAGAAGCACCGGCUAACUACGUG
rnacentral:rRNA from 1 species